CCUACGGGCGGCUGCAGUAAGGAAUAUUGGUCAAUGGACGCAAGUCUGAACCAGCCAUGCCGCGUGGAGGAUGAAGGUCCUCUGGAUUGUAAACUUCUUUUAUUUGGGAAGAAACCCACGAUUUCUAUUGUGGUUGACGGUACCAGAUGAAUAAGCACCGGCUAACUCCGUGCCAGCAGCCGCGGUAAUACGGAGGGUGCAAGCGUUAUCCGGAUUCACUGGGUUUAAAGGGUGCAUGGGCGGGCAUGUAGAAAUCCCCGAGCUUAAAUUGGGAACUGCCGUUGAUACGAUCUGUCUUGAAUACUGUGGAGGUAAGCGGAAUAUGUCAUGUAGCGGUGAAAUGCUUAGAUAUGACAUAGAACACCGAUUGCGAAGGCAGCUUGCUACACAGUCAUUGACGCUGAGGCACGAAAGCGUGGGGAUCAAACAGGAUUAGAUACCCUAGUAGUC
rnacentral:rRNA from 1 species